rnacentral:rRNA from 1 species
GAGGCAGCAGUGGGGAAUAUUGCACAAUGGGCGCAAGCCUGAUGCAGCCAUGCCGCGUGUGUGAAGAAGGCCUUCGGGUUGUAAAGCACUUUCAGCGGGGAGGAAGGCGAUAAGGUUAAUAACCUUGGCGAUUGACGUUACCCGCAGAAGAAGCACCGGCUAACUCCGUGCCAGCAGCCGCGGUAAUACGGAGGGUGCAAGCGUUAAUCGGAAUUACUGGGCGUAAAGCGCACGCAGGCGGUCUGUCAAGUCGG